CAUGGUAACGUGUUUAACAAGGAGUUGUGAACAGCUGACAUUAGGACUCUAAAAAUUAUUGAUGGCGGAUAUAUAUCUCAAGAAGUCCUGAAUAUCAUCUGGGGCUACCAUGAAUUACCAUCCCUUCAAGGUGGAUUGGCUGGACUCCAGUCUCCAGGAGACUUUAUUGCCUGGGAAACCAUGGCACAGGGUUUUCUCAAGUCUCUUGUUCUGUUGUCAAGAAGGUGGAUGUAGAAGAUCCCAUGGCAUAUUUUCAUAAAAGUACAGAGUAUUCCAAGCCUCCUGAUCAAUAUUCUUUCCUCAACCAACACCACCAAAGCAGAUUAAUUGGUGAUUAAUCCCAUUGCUAUUUUUGGGAUCUUGCUGUGUGAAAAUUAGCUGCUGUCAUUGUCGCUGUAGCAUCGGUGACUACACUUAAAAUAAAUAAUUGGCUGUGAAGCAUUGGGACAUCAUGAGGAUUUGAAAAGUACAAUGUAAAUGUAAAUUUUCCUUACAACCACUUGGAUUUUGAAGUUCCCAAACACCAGGAGAAAAACAAGACGUUGAGGAAAAGUUUAUCAAAGAUGUGGUUCAAGAGAUAGAUCUAAAUGAGACUUUUGAAGAUGUGGGGAGAUGUAGCUAGAUAGUAAAUGUUUGGAAGGGUUUAUUGUGCUAAAGGUGCUCCAUAAGUUUCAAGUUAAAGAG